rnacentral:rRNA from 1 species
UUAAGCUGAAGAGUUUGAUCAUGGCUCAGAUUGAACGCUGGCGGCAGGCCUAACACAUGCAAGUCGAGCGGUAACAGGGGUAGCUUGCUACCCGCUGACGAGCGGCGGACGGGUGAGUAAUGCAUAGGAAUCUGCCCGAUAGUG